CCAUAUUGGCCCAUAAGCCCAGUUUCGCCUGGCACACUAAGCCCAGUUUCUACACUGGUCCCCAAAGCCCAAUCUCCAUAUUGGCCCAUAAGCCCAGUUUCGCCUGGCACACUAAGCCCAGUUUCUACACUGGCCCCCAAAGCCCAAUUUCCAUAUUGGCCCAUAAGCCAGUUUCGCCUGGCCCCCAAAGCCCAGUUUUUACACUGGCCCCCAAAGCCUAAUUUUCAUAUUGGCCCAUAAGCCCAGUUUCGCCUGGCCCACUAAGCCCAGUUUCUACACUGGUCCCCAAAGCCCAAUCUCCAUAUUGACCCAUAGGCCCAGUUUCGUCUGGCUCCUAAGCCCAGUUUCCACACUGGCCCACAAGCCCAGCUCACCUGGCACCCUAAGCUCAAGUUUUUCUUGUGUUAUCAACCCUAACUCGAGUUUUUAUUCUUUCUCUUUCUCUUUUGAAAUCCGGACGAAAUUACUGUUUCUAUCUUUACUUAGCUUUUUUACUUUGAUAAUACGAAAAUAUCAAAUUUUCAUAUUAUCCAGUAAUAUCUAAGUAAAGAGGGGCAGCUGUCAACACCCAAUUUCGUCCGGAAUAAAUAAUAUAUGUUUUUUUUUACUUUAUCUUAUUCUAUGUUACUUUGUUUAUCUUAUGUCUUUUUAUUCGUUUUAAUUUUGCUUUUAUUAUUAUCUUAUUUCGUUUUACAUUAUUUAGUUUAAUUUUGUUUUAUUUUAUUUUUAUUAUUUUAUUUUUACACUUUUUAUAUUAGUUUUUUUUUUUAUUUUUGUUUUAUUAUUUUAAGUUAUUUCAUUGUUAUUCUUUUUUACGUUAGUUUUCUUUAGUUCUACUUUUAUCUUCUUUUACUUUAAUUUUUAUUUUUUAUUUAUUUAUUUAUUUUUUAUUUUAAAAGUCGUAGAAAACAAAACAAAAAUCUAAAAAAAAGGAAAAAGAAAAAGAAAAGAGAAAAAUACGAAAAAAAACUAGUCCACUAUGUUCUUUUUUGGAAUAGCAUACUGGCUUCUCUCCAUUAUCAGUUUACGCAAAUAGGCUUUCUAUACUGAAAGGCAUUUGAUCCUGCAACACACACUUCUACACGCAACAAAUUUUCGUCUUCUGGAAAAAGUUCCUCUGUACCUUGAUUUUCUGCUACUGACCAUACAUCAAAGGGGAAUGGCGUCGGCUUCGGCAGCGGCUCUGGCAGGUGACUCCUGAUCCUUCUCGAGUUGAGUGACAAAACAAAGACGAAGAGAAAAAUUGGGACGAUACACCACUACAACAAGAGGACACAGUCACAACAGAGAAGCAGAAAAAAGGGCACAGGAAGAGAGGAUUGAGGUCUAGGAUCCAUCCCCACCUCACAGAGAACUCUCAAUUCCUGGGUUCACUCCCUUUAUUCACUCAACAGAAUCACACCCAACGGGAACCCCAUUCUUCCAUCACGCUCAUCACGAAAAUCCAUCAUCCCACCCAACUUCCACAUCAUCUUCCGACUAUCAAAAACCCCAAAGUCAUUUUUCACACACAAAAAACUUGAUUCCUCUGUAUCCCCCACAACAUCCAUUUUCUCACGCGCACAUAGAAACGCUUUCAUCAUUUCAUCUUUCACUCUCCCCUCAUCUCGCUCAACACCUGAAAAACAGAGAACAAGUAAGCCCUAAGUUUCAUCACCUCUUUUCUUAAGGUCAAAACAUAAAGUGCAAAAACAGGGGAGGAAUGGAGGGUUUGGAACGCUACAAAGAUGGGCGGUACUCCUGCCGUGAGUAACGUCGUCGAUGGUCUUGGCGAUGACCGGUGGCAGCACCCUUGGCCGAGCUUGAACAUUGUCAUGGUGGCUUGGUUUGGUGAAAGCAAAGUCUGGGUGGGAGCAGACGAAGAUGAUGGUCCGUGGAAGUGCUCUUAGCCGGUGAGGAAAGACAACUUUUCUAGCGCAAGCGACACCACCGACGGUGACUCUUAGCAGGCCAAGGAGAUGUACGGCGGCGCUAGCCUGGAACCAUGGAUCUGCCGUGGACAAUGAAGAAGCCCCUAAGCCCCUUUUGAUUCUACGCUGAAGAAGAGAACCCUAAAAGCUUUCUGAUUUGGGAAUAAAAAAGAGGCAUAAGGUUUGGACCAAACAGAUUUUGCGCCACCCCUGCAUUUCAUUGCUGCACUCCAAUCCUCGUGGGCACACACCCCUGGUUUUUUCAUCUUCUCACCUUUAUUUUUAUUGAGUUCUGUUGUUUGAAUUUUGUUUUAUGUUUUUGUUUUUACCUAGAUUUUUUUUACUGCAUGUGGCCCUAUAUGAUAACCCCACCCCUUUAUCUUAUGUUUUAUUUGGCUUUCAUUUACUGUAUUCUAACAUUCAGUGCAUACACUCAUUUUCCUAAUGAAAAUAUCCAAUAAAAAUUAUAAAAGAAUAAAUAAAAGACAAACAUUAAAAAAGUGAUUAAAAUUAUGAAAUUAAAAAAAUCGUUUUACGACGUCUCAUAGUAUCUUCGUUUGCAAAUAAAAAAUAAAUUCUGAUUUGUUAUAUAGAUUACGAAAU
rnacentral:lncRNA from 1 species